GACGAACGCUGGCGGCGUGCUUAACACAUGCAAGUCGAACGGUGAAGGGGAGCUUGCUCCCUGGAUCAGUGGCGAACGGGUGAGUAACACGUGAGCAAUCUGCCCCGGACUCUGGGAUAAGCGCUGGAAACGGCGUCUAAUACCGGAUACGGCGCGGGAGGGCAUCCUCUCCGCGUGGAAAGAAUUUCGGUCCGGGAUGAGCUCGCGGCCUAUCAGCUUGUUGGGGAGGUAACGGCUCACCAAGGCGACGACGGGUAGCCGGCCGGGGAGGGUGACCGGCCACACUGAGACUGAGACACGGCCCAGACUCAUACGGGAGGCAGCAGUGGGGAAUAUUGCACAAUGGGCGCAAGCCUGAUGCAGCAACGCCGCGUGAGGGACGACGGCCUUCGGGUUGUAAACCUCUUGUAGCAGGGAAGAAGCGAAAGUGACGGUACCUGCAGAAAAAGCACCGGCUAACUACGUGCCAGCCGCCGCCGUAAAAC
rnacentral:rRNA from 1 species